rnacentral:misc_RNA from 1 species
GUGAAUCAUCGAAUCUUUGAACGCACAUUGCGCCCCCUGGCACUCCGGGGGGCAUGCCUGUUCGAGCGUCAUUUCACCACUCAAGCCUCGCUUGGUGUUGGGCGUCGGGGUCUCCCCCGUGCCUCAAUUUCACCGGCUGGACCGUUCGAUUCUCAGCGUUGUGGCAACUAUUCGCUGCGGGAGACGACGGGGCACGCCGCUAAACCUCUCAUCAAAGGUUGACCUCGGAUCAGGUAGGGAUACCCGCUGAACUUAAGCAUAUCAAUAAGCGGAGGA